rnacentral:rRNA from 1 species
UACAGAGACUGCAAGCGUUAUUCGGAUUCACUGGGCGUAAAGGGUGCGCAGGCGGCCGUGUGUGUUGGGCGUGAAAGCCCGGGGCUUAACCCCGGAAUUGCGCCCAAAACUACAUGGCUAGAGCAUUGGAGAGGGUAGCAGAAUUCAUGGUGUAGCAGUGAAAUGCGUAGAUAUCAUGAGGAAUACCAGAGGCGAAGGCGGCUACCUGGACAAUUGCUGACGCUCAGGCACGAAAGCGUGGGGAGCAAACAGG